CUUCACCACCAUUGCUUGCCGCCUCUUCACGGUCAUCGUUCACCUUCUUUUCACGGCCGUUGAUUGUUGCCGGGGUGGGAUCGCUUGCUUUCGCCACCUCUUCACCCACCGAUUGUUAAAGGCUUUGUGGAGCGGAGAAGUGGCUGCUGGACUUGGACUUGAAUCUCUCGUGGACCUGGCAUUGAUUCUGGUUUUCCAUUCUCUUUGCAAAGACCAUAUCUAUGAGAUGAUGGACGUAAUAUCGUGGUUAAAGCUCUAGAAUGUGGUUUUUAUUAUUUCUGAUGAUUUCUCCGGCGAGCAGCACGAACUCAAGUUAUCACAGAUAAUUUAGAUUCUCAUAUCUACGUGCCAUAUUCUUAAUCAAAUUGUGAUUGAAACGUGAUCCUACUAAAGCUUGACACUUGCGAAGACAGAUCGAAUUCAGAAGCCAUACAGUUCUCCCUUAAUUGAAGUUACCAACAAUUUAAAUUAAAGGAAAUUGGAGCCUGUUGUGCUUCCAUCACCUGUCACUUCAGUGGAACUGUUGAGAAUAGCGGUAUCUGAAUCACUAUUAACUGUCAGAGAGGCGUUAGAAAAGUACCAGCUAGUGUCAGAAAAGGUAUAUUCUUUGGAGAUUUCUGUGAUUUUUUUCAUUUCCUGUAAUAUAUUUCAUCCAAUUAUCUUAACUCUUAUUUCUCUUGGGGAUGAUUCCGACU